rnacentral:lncRNA from 1 species
CAAAAAGUUGACAUCACCCACAGUUUACAGCAGUCACUGGUAAAGUCAAUUAGGAUCUAAAUUAACUUUCCUCAUUGCCAUUAGCCAUUCUUGAAUUUAGAAGACAACAUUCUUUUAAGGUAGUCUCAGUGCUUGGAAAAGAAAAUGAGAUUAUUUGCAAAAUAUCUGUAGUGUGGAGUUUAUAUUUUGUCAUUUCCCCUAUUGAUCGAAAGAAAGCUUGGAAGUUGAAAUCCCAGCUUACUGUUUUUCACUGGGUUACAAACAAAUUGGUGGUCCAAUAAUGGGAGAAGGUAAACUUAGAAUAAAAGGAAGAUAGAUUGAUAGGUACAGAUCUUGUUAAAGAGGUGAAUUACUAAUUAGUUCUCUAUUUACCUUACCUAGUGAUGCUUAAUUUCAAAACUACUGCCUUGCUGAAAGUAGCAAGGUAUAUUGAAAUUAUGGGAGCCUUGACUGCCUUUUUGUCCUA